rnacentral:rRNA from 1 species
CCUACGGGAGGCUGCAGUAGGGAAUUUUCGUCAAUGGGCGCAAGCCUGAACGAGCAAUGCCGCGUGAACGAGGAAGGUCUUCGGAUCGUAAAGUUCUGUUGAAGGGGAAGAAGAGCGGAGAGAGGAAAUGGUCUCCGAUUGAUAUUACCCUUCGAGGAAGUCACGGCUAACUACGUGCCAGCAGCCGCGGUAAUACGUAGGUGGCGAGCGUUAUCCGGAAUGAUUGGGCGUAAAGGGUGCGUAGGCGGGUUGGUAAGUCUGGAGUGAAAGGUACGGGCUCAACCGGUACAGGCUUUGGAAACUGGCGAGCUAGAGAGCAGGAGAGGGCGGUGGAACUCCAUGUGUAGCGGUAAAAUGCGUAGAUAUAUGGAAGAACACCAGUGGCGAAGGCGGCCGCCUGGGCUGUUACUGACGCUGAGGCACGAAAGCGUGGGGAGCAAAUAGGAUUAGAUACCCUUGUAGUC